rnacentral:rRNA from 1 species
CCUACGGGAGACUGCAGUGGGGAAUAUUGCACAAUGGGGGAAACCCUGAUGCAGCGACGCCGCGUGAGUGAAGAAGUAUUUCGGUAUGUAAAGCUCUAUCAGCAGGGAAGAAAUAAAGUCCUUCGGACUUUGGACGGUACCUGACUAAGAAGCCCAGGAUAACUACGUGCCAGCAGCCGCGGUACUACGUAGGGGGCAAGCGUUCUCCGGAUUUACUGGGUGUAAAGGGGGCGUAGACGGCAGCGCAAGUCUGGAGUGAAAUCCCAUGGCUUAACCAUGGAACUGCAUUUGAAACUGUGCAGCUGGAGUGCAGGAGAGGUAAGCGGAAUUCCUAGUGUAGCGGUGAAAUGCGUAGAUAUUAGGAGGAACACCAGUGGCGAAGGCGGCUUACUGGACUGUAACUGACGUUGAGGCUCGAAAGCGUGGGGAGCAAACAGGAUUAGAUACCCUGGUAGUC